rnacentral:sRNA from 1 species
CAUAACACAUUUGAGGACAAAUAUAAUGAACAUGAGAAUCAAUAGCACCAGCAGUGAAGAUCAAGCCUUCGCCAGCCAAUGCCUCAGUACCAGCGCCCACAAUCAUACCAGGAGUAACAUUGUCCAUCAUAUCAGGAUUGCCUGAUUUGCCAAUGCCAACAAUAAUGCCCUUUUUAAUACCAAUAUCAGCCUUGUAAAUACCAGUGUAAUCAAAAAUCAUUGCGUUUGUAAUAACCAAAUCCAAAAUGUCGUCGUCGCAAGCGUCUGUUGCUUGGCCCAUGCCUUCUCUCAG